rnacentral:rRNA from 1 species
UGGGGAAUAUUGCACAAUGGGGGAAACCCUGAUGCAGCGACGCCGCGUGAGCGAAGAAGGCUUUCGAGUCGUAAAGCUCUGUCCUAUGAGAAGAUAAUGACGGUAUCAUAGGAGGAAGCCCUGGCUAAAUACGUGCCAGCAGCCGCGGUAAUACGUAUGGGGCGAGCGUUGUCCGGAAUUAUUGGGCGUAAAGGGUACGUAGGUGGUUUUUUAAGUCAGGUGUCAAAGCGUGGGGCUUAACUCCAUUAAGCACUUGAAACUGAAAGACUUGAGUGAAGGAGAGGAAAGUGGAAUUCCUAGUGUAGCGGUGAAAUGCGUAGAUAUUAGGAGGAACACCGGUGGCGAAAGCGGCUUUUUGGCCUGCAACUGACACUGAGGCGCGAAAGCGUGGGGAGCAAACAGG